AACACUGUUAACCUGCGGUACCUGCGGAGGGAUCAUUACUGAGUCACGUGCUCAAACAACCCUUCUGUGGACCUGAAAUAAAACCGUUGCCUCGGCGGGCGGUCCCCCCCAAACCAACCCCACGUGGUGGGUUAGGGGAGACCAGACAGUCCGGUACGCUUAAGGCGUCCGGCGCCAGCCGCUGGCCCCAAACAAUCAAACUCUAGUAAUCCUUACCUUCUGAGUUUCAAUAUUUAAAAA
rnacentral:misc_RNA from 1 species